rnacentral:rRNA from 1 species
UACGUAGGGUGCAAGCGUUAAUCGGAAUUACUGGGCGUAAAGCGUGCGCAGGCGGUUAUGUAAGACAGUUGUGAAAUCCCCGGGCUCAACCUGGGAACUGCAUCUGUGACUGCAUAGCUAGAGUACGGUAGAGGGGGAUGGAAUUCCGCGUGUAGCAGUGAAAUGCGUAGAUAUGCGGAGGAACACCGAUGGCGAAGGCAAUCCCCUGGACCUGUACUGACGCCCAUGCACGAAAGCGUGGGGAGCAAACAGG